UACGUAGGGUGCGAGCGUUGUCCGGAAUUAUUGGGCGUAAAGGGCUCGUAGGCGGUUUGUCGCGUCGGGAGUGAAAACCUCGGGCUUAACUCGGGGCUUGCUCUCGAUACGGGCAGACUGGAGGUAUGCAGGGGAGAACGGAAUUCCUGGUGUAGCGGUGAAAUGCGCGGAUAUCAGGAGGAACACCGGUGGCGAAGGCGGUUCUCUGGGCAUUACCUGACGCUGAGGAGCGAAAGUGUGGGGAGCGAACAGG
rnacentral:rRNA from 1 species